rnacentral:rRNA from 1 species
UUGCAGUUAAAAAGCUCGUAGUUGGAUUUCUGCGGGGGCGGGGCGGCCGACCUCAACUCGAGGUUCGAGCUAGCACUUCCCCUGCAUCCUGCCGCGAACCGUGCUACCAUUAGUUUGGUGGCGCUGGGGAUCGGCUCGUUUACUUUGAGAAAAAUAGAGUGUUCAAAGCAGGCCACACGCCUUGAAUAAGUUAGCAUGGAAUAAUGAUAAAGGACUUCGGUUCUAUUUUGUUGGUGUUCGGGACUGAAGUAAUGAUUGAUAGGGACAGUUGGGGCGGUCAGUAUUCCAAAGCGAGAGGUGAAAUUCUUAGACCUUCGGAAGACUAACAGCUGCGAAAGCGUUCCGCAAGGAUGUUCCCUUUGAUCAAGAACGAAAGUUGGGGGAUCGAAGACGAUCAGAUACCGUCGUAGUCUCAACCAUAAACUAUACCAGCUAGGGAUCGGCCAACGUUUACUUAUAUCGACUUGGUCGGCACCUUAUGAGAAAUCAAAGCAUCUGGG